rnacentral:rRNA from 1 species
CCUACGGGGGACAGCAGUGAGGAAUAUUGGGCAAUGGAGGCAACUCUGACCCAGCCAUGCCGCGUGAGUGAAGAAGGUUUUCGGAUCGUAAAGCUCUUUCGGCAGGGACGAUGAUGACGGUAGCUUCCAAAGAAGCCCCGGCUAACUCCGUGCCAGCAGCCGCGGUAAUACGAAGGGGGCAAGCGUUGUUCGGAUUUACUGGGCGUAAAGGGAGUGUAGGCGGUUUAGUAAGAUAGUGGUGAAAUCCCAGGGCUUAACUUUGGAAUUGCCAUUAUAACUUUUAGACUAGAAUGAAGGAGAGGAUAGUGGAAUGCCCAGUGUAGAGGUGAAAUGCGUAGAUAUUAGGUAGAACACCGGUGGCGAAGGCGACUAGCUGGCUGGAGAUUGACGCUGAGGCUCGAAGGCAUGGGGAGCAAACAGGAUUAGAUACCCUAGUAGUC